GACUGCUGGGGGCAGGGCUUGGUGCAGCUGCUCCGCCACCUGGUGGUCCCACCUGGAACUGCAACAUUUGUAAGAACGGGCUCAUCCUGCCUGUGGGGCCCAUCCCCUAGGGGUACACCUCUUGGGGGAGAAGCAGGCUUGGGGAAGAAGGUGGGUAGCUUCAGAUUACAGUCACUAAGCCCCCCAGGUGUCUCAUUAGAUUAAUUUGGGUAAAGUAAGCCCUUGUUACUCAGAACCAGAAUUGCCACUGGGGUUGACUUCCUGGCUAAGGACUCCUUCAAAUAAACCAAAACCCAGGCCGGCUGCCAAAGGACCUUAGGCAGUUCACUUCCCUUCUCUAGACUCUAGGGUCCUUGUCUCUAAGAUGGAGGCCUCUGCUUCACCUAGUAAGAUUAAAAAGAAAAUGAAUGAGACUCACAGUAAAUAUUAGUUAUGAGCCAGGUGGGGUGGCACACACCUGUAAUUCCAGAGGCCCAGGAGGCUGAGGCAGGAGGAUCACAGGUUUGAAGCCAACCUCAGCAAUUUAGUGAGACUGUAGGCAACCCAGUGAGGCCCUGUCUCAAAAUAUUUAAAAAAAAAAGGGCUGGGGAUGUGAUUCAGUUGUUAAGAGCCCCUGGGUUCAAUCCUUGGUACAAAAAGAGAAAAAAAUUAGUCAUGAUGGCCCACAUCACCAUCAUCAUCCUCACCAUCAUUACCAUCUUCAUCACCACCAUCAUCAUCACCAUCAUCACCACCAUUACCAUCACCAUCACCAUCACUAUCAUCAUCAACACCAUCCCCAUCUUACCAUCACUACCACCAUCACUAUCACCACCAUCUUCAUCACCACCAUCAUCACCACCAUUACCAUCACCACAAUCAUCACCAUCAUCACCACCACCAUCUCUAUCACCAACAUCUUCAUCACCACUACCAUCACCACUAUCAUCAUCACCCCAUCCUCACUAUCACCAUCACCACCACCACCAUCAUCACUACCAUGACCACCAGCACCACCAGCACCACAAUCAUCACCAUCAUCGUCACCAUCACCAUCCCCGCCAUCCCCACCAGCACCAGCUCCAUUGUAAUUGACUGAUAGUUCUUCCUUUUUUUCUUUCCCAGUUGAAGCUACAAUGUUUCAGAUCCAACUGGGGUCCUGGGAGCCCUGGGUGGCCACUGGUCAGCAGGGAGGCUCCUCCCUGGGUGCACACUGCGGCUCUCUGGGGCUCAAGUUCCACUGCGUUUCCCAAGGGCCAUGUAAAGGUGCCCAAUGAUCCAUCAGAAAAUCAAAGAAACAGUGGCCCUAAAAUGUCAGAUUUCCU
rnacentral:lncRNA from 1 species